CGUGUACCCCAAUUUUCUUUCAUUUUUCUCAUAUUCUUCAUUAUGUAUGAAAUAAUAUCUUAUAUAAGUAGGCUAGAUUAUUGAUUACCUGAAUAUCUAUGAUCUUAAUUAUUCAACUCGACAAUCGAGAUAUGAAAGGUUAAUUUGGUUCAGUGUAAUAUGUACGUUUUUUCUUGCUCUGGGCAGUUAGAAAAUGUUACGUUCGUAUUGUAUCGAUUUGUUCAUCGAAAAAAAGAAGUCACGGAUCGUGAUCCCGAAAAAAUCGAGAAUCGGUUUCGUUCUAAAUGACGCGCGUAAAUCGAUGAAGAUCGUCGAACGUUCAAGUGAACAUAAAGAUUAGAUUUGCUUUGAAAACAAUUCCGAAGGAAGUAGUGCGCAGUUAACGAAAAUUCCAUGAUACGUCAUCGUUAUUUCUCUCUCCCCCUCCCCACCUCUCUCUCUCUCUCUCUCUCUCUCUCUCUCUCUCUCUCUUUCUUAUAUUUCAUCUUGGAAAGACUAUGAACAACGAGCAGAAACGCGUCGCGAGUGUGAGCAAUCAAAAGGAGGUGGACGAGAAAAAAGAAUUGUUUGAAAAAAUAGCGUAGAUUAUUUUCUGGUUAAAGCUUAUCUGGAAUGGGGCCAAAAUAAUCGUUGCUCGAAGCUACUCUCACGUGGGUAAAGGAUUAUCGGUCGGGAAGAACGCGUACGAGCAUUCGAAAUCAGAAUUUCUGUAGAAUAUAGAACGCGUUUCGAGAAGGAUUUGUUUCGGUUUAUGACACUCUUGCUUUUGUCCUUGCUUCCUGCACUUGCUCGUUUAUAAGCUUUCGCUGCUCAAAUCCUCGUCGAAAAGCAUAAGUGAUUCUUUUCUCGCGUUCGAAUCUACACUUUUGCAAUAUUCUGUUCAUUUUAAACCGAAAGCUCGUGAUCCCUCGAAUAAUCUCAUCCCGCUUGCCACCGUCCUGUUACACUUUAUCGUCUUAUCCUCCUUACCUUAUUCGAGUGCGAAACGAUUCGUUGAAUUUCGACGAGCAGAAUGAAUUGGGUUCGAUAAAUGAGCAUUAUUCGUUCUGCACGAGGAGUCGUUGUCCUCUUCUCUUCUCUUGGAAUAAUUCGAUCGAAUCAGACGGUAAACGGUUGCGGAAGCAACUCUAAUUACCUAUUGCCUAUUCUCCCAGUCUUUUAUCGUCGAGCUUCAAAGAACGCGAGAGGGAGAGCGAGAGCGAAUGUCGUGCACUCAUAGAUAUACUCGACGUGCAAGCCGGUCGAGCGAACGAGUAGAUACCGUUACCCGCAGUACAACACAUUCACAAUCGUCGUUCGAUCGUCGUUCGAUCCUCGACGCGCGUAACGUUUCGUUAUCCUCUACCUCCUUUUUCUUUAUCCAAGUAUUUUCGAAGUUUUAGUAUUCGGUAUAUAUAGAACCUAUCGGGAACAAUAAUAUGCUUGAAAUCAUCCGAGAAAUUGUCCGAGAAAUCGUUCGAGAAAUCGUUCGAGAAAACGAGGAGUCUGCAAGAAGUUGAUGAACUCGUUUGCGGGUCAAGUUGAUGCUGCACCUGUGAUUUAAUUGGAUUCGAUUAGCUCGCGUUCGAGGAUGAUAGAAAUUAGUGUUCAAUAUCAUCUCUACCACGUAGAAUCGUUGUUGGCGAAUAUGCGAUAUUAAAGAAGAAACGCGAACGGAAAUGAUCGAACAAUAGACUAAUGGGAGAUAAAGGGAGCAUUGAAAACACGUCGAUCAAUUAAUUUCGCAGAGUGGACGCAUUCUAACGCGUAUCCGGAUCUACUACCUAACAACCAGCACGCACAUUUUAUCGUUUCUGCGGAGCGGAGCGGUCUCGGAAUUCUCCCGUUGAACGAAUAUCAAUGCGGAAAAAUAUAAGAUAUAGCUAAGCAGAGAAAGAAAGGAAGGAGGGCAUUUGUAUAGAUGUACUCAGAAGAUUGUAAAAAAGGAGCAACUGUUUUUCUUAACGGAUCAGUGAGAAAGACCGUGUGUGUCCAGUGUUUUCCCUUUUCAAAGGAUCUUUUCAAGGUGUACAAUAAAAGAAAGCGAACGUGUUCUUGGUACGGAAAGUCCAUGCUCGUUUAAUUGACGUCUACGAGAAGCGCGUGUGGCCUUUUCAUUCAAUGCCAUCUCGCUGGACGUCGUUGGAUGAUGUUGCGCAUUCCCCGAGUAGCGGUUUUUUAUUUUUUACAUUUUUCACGUUUUUCCAUACAUCGUACGCGACGGAAUCGAAUCGAUAAUGAGAUAUGAAAAGUCUUGAAAAAUACGUAUAUAUGUAUGCGCGAUGCACGAAACAAGGUACAAUACAUUGCUGAAGUCGAUUUGAAAUAGAUUUACAUAGUUCGAGAUAAAAUGGAAAUUGGUCACACAUGCUCAGACUUGUCGAAAAUAUGUUGGUGCAUCAAUCGUGACGUGACAAGAAUUUGACUUUUUUUUUUCUCUCUCUCUUUCCCAUCACGUCAUCUACGAUUACUUACGUUCCGAUGUACGUCGUAGAAAUGUCGAUCCAAGGAGCGGAACUAUGCCUCGGAUGUUCUCUUUCUAAGGCCAUACACAUCUUUUUGUAUAAUAAGCGAGUGAUAUUGAGUCAUUACGAAAGUUUACAAUGCUUCAUUAAAGGGGAAAGCGUGUGCGCGUACAUAUACAUCGAGGUUGACGUAGUAGAUAUCACUUUGUAAAACGUAGCCUCGAGUCAUACACAAGUAUCACGUUCCCGCGGAAACGUUUUACUUUUAUUUUAUUAUUUUGCUUUUGAGGAGGUUUUUUAACAUUUAUCUCCCACAAAUUCUUUUUCGGUCGAAAGUCAAAAUGAAUUAAAGUACUUCGAUGAAGUUAAUUAUUUAACGAAUUUCCAGUUCGGAGUAAAUUUCACGACGCUUCUAUUUUGUCAGAAUGAAAAUGCUAUUUUCUUAUGCUAUAACGCUAUUUUUUCUUUUUUUUUGGCGUUUACAAAUAGAUCGCGUACGAACUUUUCACCGGACAAAUUUUCUAGAACAAUGCGGUUAAGUUCCAAUGGAUGGCCUUAAAAAUGGACAUAGGUGAAGGUAGGUAGGCUCUAAAAUGUAAUUUAGAUAGAAAAAAAAGUACCUGCAAACAUAAUUUAAUACUCUCCCCUCAAAUUGUACGAUUCACAUCGUACAUAGACAUAUUUUUGAAUAGUAAAUACGUGCACAUAUUUAUCGAUAGAAAGUUUUUUAAAACGUAUGAAAAAGAAAAAAAGGAGAAAGAGAAAUAAAAAGAUGACAUCGAAGGAGUCUUACUCGAGUCAACCGACCUACUUGAUCACUACAGAUACCGCUACUUGGCAUCCAGUCGACGUUCUUCUCUUCUCUCUCCCCACCCAACUCGUCUAAGCUCAGUUAUUACCACGCUGUCGUAAGCACGGUCCUAAGAUUACAGAAAACAGUCACAUCUCUCUUGAGUGAGUGAGUGAGAGAGAGAGAGAGAGAGAGAGAGAGGAGAGGAGAGAGAUGCAAGUAGAAAAUGUCGGUAAUGGCGAUGCAACGCUAAAAGAUCAUGCCAAUGUGAAAUGAAGUGAAGUAUGUUUUUUCUCUCUCUCUCUCUCUCACUUUAUUGCAAUAGCGACCAUUUAAGAAUUCAUAUAACGGGUGACACUCGAAACGACUCAAAAAUUGCCGAGAAAAUGCGAUAUCUCGUUCUUUCAUUUUCAUUCUAUUUUGAUUAGUUUACUUUCUUCUUUUUUCUUUUUCCAUAAGAAUGACUCGAAUCUUUUCCUCGAAGGUUCGUUCUUCUUAGAUCCGACGAAAGUUUAUAACUCGAACGCGAAAAGUAUAAAAUGGAUUGGAACUUUUCUCCCGUUAUUUUCCAUCGGCUCGGUCGAUUGGUCGGUCGGUUCACAUAGUCUAGUCAGCAAACGCAGAAUUUCUACUUUUCCUCGAAGGAGUACAUUAACGGAGUUAUGAUACCCGGUUUAUCGCAAUGGCGCACCUGUUACUUGCACUCUGCAUAUUUCUGCGCAAUUUCAUGUAGCGUCGAGAGAAAAGUGAGAAUCUUUGAAUAAUUGAUUCCUAAUAAAUGAUACGUGAUGUGUAUUAGGUUAAUUCUUCAUAGUAAGAGAGAGAAAGAGAGAGACAGAUAGAGAGAAAGAGAGAGAGAGAGAAUUUAUCGACUUUAGCUAAUAAUAGUUUUGACUUUAUUCAUGCAUAAGUUUCUCUCUCUCUCUCUCUCUCUCUCUCUCUCUCUCUCUCUUUCUCUCUCGUUUUCUCCUUUCACUCGUUAGUUUCGAUAGCAGCAUGAAGAUAGAGAGGCAAAGCGACGAAAGAGAAACGAGGCCUGCCGUUAGGGGAAGAACAAAAAGAGAAAAUCAACAUUCUCCCUGGUCACUGCGGUACAGCAACAGGUCGUGGACGAUACAAAUGACCAUGAAUGUGCGAUUCCUUUACUGUUUUACCUCCAAUAUGUCGAUAGUAUUGUAUCAUCUAUCUAUUUUCGUUCGCUUUUACCAAACUUUGUUCUUCCAUUCAUCUAUAUCCCCUGCGACGUUUCUUUUUUCUGUUUGCUCUCUGUGCGCGCGCGCGUGUGUUAAAAUUGAUAAAAAUAUUUGUUGAGAGGAAAUAUAAUACGUGUACAAAUAUAAAACGUGACGUAAAAAUACAUCUACUCGCUCGGAAUAAAAUACGGACGGAUAUCGCGAACUGAUAUAAUCUCGCUUCGAUAGAUCGAGUUUAAUUUGACGGAAAAUGUUAUAAUUUCAUGACAGACGAGACCGUUUGCCCCGAACAAUAUAUACAUAUUUAUGUAUAUGCAUAUUAUUAAUUACCGCUAUUCUGUUAUUUCAUUAACAUAAAGUAGGUAGAAUAAUUGAAUCGCAGAAGCGGAGGAUAAUUGAACUAAACUUUAUUAUUUCGUUAUUAUCGAACAAGUAUAGAAAAUGGAAGCUUUGGACUAUAAUAAAUAAUUUGAAUUAUUUCGAAUUUAUAAAGUGAUGGCCGUUUGUUCCCUUUUUGUUUCGUUUUUUUUCUCUUCUUGUAGACGUCCGAUUUCGUUCACACGACCUUGAUUAUCGUCGAUUAAACGACAUAGAAUCGUUCCUGUCACGAGUCGAAUUGUACCAUAAAGGGUUAAUGGCCUUUAAAAAAGGUCGGCACAAUUGUCGAGACAACGCUCUCGUAUGUGCCGUGCUGCUUCCACACGUAUCGUGGAUAGAUGUUAUUUCUUCGUUCGUCGACGUGGUCUUUUGUGCAUUGCGUAGUUUGAAUAUAAAUGAAAGCAACGACACCCUAUAUAUAUAAUACUGCGCGGAGACAUAACGGUCUCUGUCAGAUACCUUGAUCUUUUCUGCAACGAUGCCAAGUGGAACGCCUAUAUUUACCGACACACGUGCGGUAAUACGUUCGAUUAUGAAUACGAAAUGCCAUGAGCGAUUAAACGAAGGAGUUUUUUUUCUUUUUUUCGAAUAAUAUAGUCCGUACUCCCCACUCGUCCUAUUAUCUUUAUGUUUCGAGGAUGGAAAUAUGCGUUGUUUCUAAAAAAGGAAAGAAAAGAAAAAGUAAAGUAAAAAGAAAAGUUAUUUUGAUUAGAGAGAAUAAGAAGAAGCGUUUAGCGUGGUAUAAAUGGAUCGUAUCGAUAUUAUCAUCGAUCGUUUUGAUCUUUUAUGUAUUUAGAACAAUACGUAUCGUUAUUCACGAGGAUAUUCUAUAUCGAUAUAGAACGUAUUCGCGAGUAACCCAGAAAACUAAAAAAGACUAGUAUAGAAAGAAGUGGAAGCAAGAGAGACAUUGGAAACGAUGAAAAUCGCGCGGAACUAAGUAAAAAGACUUAGAACCCGUUAGUUUAAUCGCGUUUUCGGUAUUAUCCGAGAGAUUGCCGCACGACGAGUAUGCGUGCACAGGUGGUGCGUGCUCUCGUUAAGGAACAAAAAGGGAAGUCACGAUCGUGAACCUAUCUGUGCUAUACACGUGCACGGGUCCAAAAGCAUCACUACGAUCGAGAGAAGAGACCCUUUACGUAACCCGCUGAUGUGACCCGCUUUCGGGAACGUAUAGAGUUAAUUGCACGCGAUAAAUUGUCCUUUCCCGUCUACUCCCUCACGACACGAGUUUCGUCCGUUCUUCGUGAAUUACCUUUCAUUUCAGUUCUGACCAUACUUUUCCGACCACAUAACUGCCUUUCUAUGUCUAGAAAACAUUCGGUUUGUUGCUCGCGGUAUAAUCGGAUCGGUUGGCAGCCUGCUAGUUGGACCUUUCCUCGCUUUUUGCAGGAAAGGAACAACUCUAAUACAAGUUGGGAUCGUACAUCGACGUUUUCAAAUAUGUCAUUGAUUUAUUUAAAUCCUUUAAACACACACACACACACACACACACACACACACAUGUAUAUAUAUAAUAUGAUUCGAAUCUCGAGAUUUUCAAUAUCCCCUUGUUUGUU